rnacentral:rRNA from 1 species
GACGAACGCUGGCGGCGUGCUUAACACAUGCAAGUCGAACGGAAAGGCCCCCUUGUGGGGUACUCGAGUGGCGAACGGGUGAGUAACACGUGAGUAACCUACCCUUGACUUUGGGAUAACUUCAGGAAACUGGGGCUAAUACCGUAUAGGAGCUCCUGCUGCAUGGUGGGGGUUGGAAAGUUUCGGCGGUUGGGGAUGGACUCGCGGCUUAUCAGCUUGUUGGUGGGGUAGUGGCUCACCAAGGCAUUGACGGGUAGCCGGCCUGAGAGGGUGACCGGCCACAUUGGGCCUGAGAUACGGACCAGACUCCUACGGGAGGCAGCAGUGGGGAAUAUUGCACAAUGGGCGGAAGCCUGAUGCAGCAACGCCGCGUGCGGGAUGACGGCCUUCGGGUUGUAAACCGCUUUCGCCUGUGACGAAGCGUGAGUGACGGUAAUGGGUAAAGAAGCACCGGCUAACUACGUG